rnacentral:sRNA from 2 species
AUUCUUUAUUCGCUGAAUCCGUCAGGAGCGGGGGAACCAACUUUGUGAUGCUGGGCAUCACUUGGGGUGAAUCCUUCAAUGUAAGGACGGGCUACUCUCAUGGCCCGAAUCCGACAGCUAACCUCGUAAGCGUUAAGAGAGAGGGUGU